CAAUAGCGUAUAUUAAAGUUGUUGCGGUUAAAAAGCUCGUAGUUGGAUUUCUGCCGAGGACGUCCGGUCCACCCUCUGGGUGUGUACAUGGCACGGCCUGGGCAUCUUCUUGGGGUACGUAUCUGCACUUGACUGUGUGGUGCGGAAUCCAGGACUUUUACUUUGAGGAAAUUAGAGUGUUUCAAGCAGGCACGCGCCUUGAAUACAUUAGCAUGGAAUAAUAAGAUAGGACCUCGGUUCUAUUUUGUUGGUUUCUAGAGCUGAGGUAAUGAUUAAUAGGGAUAGUUGGGGGCAUUCGUAUUUAACUGUCAGAGGGGAAAUUCUUGGAUUUGUUAAAGACGGACUACUGCGAAAGCAUUUGCCAAGGAUGUUUUCAUUGA
rnacentral:rRNA from 1 species